CGUGAGUAACCUGCCUUGGAGUCGGGGAAUAACAGUUGGAAACAGCUGCUAAUACCGCAUAAUAUGUCUGUGUCGCAUGGCACUGGGCAUCAAAGAUUUAUCGCUCUGAGAUGGACUCGCGUCUGAUUAGCUAGUUGGCGGGGUAACGGCCCACCAAGGCGACGAUCAGUAGCCGGACUGAGAGGUUGGCCGGCCACAUUGGGACUGAGACACGGCCCAGACUCCUACGGGAGGCAGCAG
rnacentral:rRNA from 1 species